UACGAAGGGGGCUAGCGUUGUUCGGAAUUACUGGGCGUAAAGCGCACGUAGGCGGAAUGUUAAGUCAGGGGUGAAAUCCCGGGGCUCAACCCCGGAACUGCCUUUGAUACUGGCAUUCUCGAGUCCGGAAGAGGUGAGUGGAAUUCCGAGUGUAGAGGCGAAAUUCGUAGAUAUUCGGAGGAACACCAGUGGCGAAGGCGGCUCACUGGUCCGGUACUGACGCUGAGGUGCGAAAGCGUGGGGAGCAAACAGG
rnacentral:rRNA from 1 species